rnacentral:rRNA from 1 species
UACGUAGGGGGCAAGCGUUGUCCGGAUUUAUUGGGCUUAAAGGGUGCGUAGGCGGUCUAUUAAGUCAGUGGUGAAAUACUCCAGCUUAACUGGAGGGGUGCCAUUGAUACUGAUGGACUUGAGUGAAGUCGAGGUAGGCGGAAUUGACGGUGUAGCGGUGAAAUGCUUAGAUAUCGUCAAGAACACCAAUAGUGAAGACAGCUUACUAGGCUUAUACUGACGCUGAGGCACGAAAGUCUGGGGAUCAAACAGG